rnacentral:sRNA from 1 species
AAAGAUAGAAAUCAAGGACGUGGAUGGGCAGACGCUGAGUAAGCUGAUUGACUACAUCUAUACUGCUGAAAUCGAGGUGACUGAAGAGAAUGUCCAGGUGCUGCUCCCGGCAGCCAGCUUGCUGCAGCUCAUGGAUGUUCGGCAGAACUGCUGUGACUUCCUGCAGUCUCAGUUGCAUCCCACCAAUUGCCUGGGAAUCCGUGCAUUUGCAGAUGUACACACCUGCACUGACCUUCUGCAGCAGGCCAAUGCCUAUGCAGAGCAGCACUUUCCAGAGGUGAUGCUAGGAGAAGAAUUUCUUAGCCUGAGUCUGGACCAGGUGUGCAGCUUGAUAUCCAGUGACAAGCUGACCGUUUCUUCAGAAGAGAAGGUAUGACAUGGCUCACUGGGGAAGCGGGAACCUCACUCGUCAGGUGGUCAUGGGAAGGACUUGUGGUUUGGUGAGAUCUUUUCUUUUCUUUUAUUUGAGAUGGAGUCUCGCUCUGUCGGCCAGGCUG